AUGGAAGGGCCACAAACAGGGAAGCCUAUCCGACUACAUAACAAACCCAAGAAGGCACCAGACUACGUGGUGGCUCCAGAAGGCAUGGACAAGUCCUUCUAUGCCUUGCUUUUGCUACAUUUAUUUUCUUCAUUAUUAAUAAAUGUUUUGACUUACAUCAUGAUAGAUUAUGCCUGCACCGGCGAUGAUUGGUCCGUGAUUGAAAAUAUAAUGACUGAACCAAGCGAUAACAGAAAUUUAGUGAGCAUCAACGACUCAUAUCUCAAAAAAUUACAAUUAGUACGCCUUUUAACCGAAGGAGAAUUUUCUGGCAACGAAAUAUUUGUUCCAGUUAACAUUGAAGAGUUUCAUUCGUACCUAGCAGUUAUAAAUACCGGGAAGCAAUGUAUCCAGGUGCUCGACUCGGUAGGCCCAGGAAUGAACCGCAAAGACCUCACUGCUAUGUUGUGA
rnacentral:rRNA from 1 species